CAACUUUUAACAACGGAUCUCUUGGUUCUGGCAUCGAUGAAGAACGCAGCGAAAUGCGAUAAGUAGUGUGAAUUGCAGAAUUCAGUGAAUCAUCGAAUCUUUGAACGCACAUUGCGCCCCUUGGUAUUCCAUGGGGCAUGCCUGUUCGAGCGUCAUU
rnacentral:rRNA from 1 species